rnacentral:snRNA from 1 species
AGCUUUGCGCAGUGGCAGUAUUGUAGCCAGUGAGGUUAAUCCGAGGCGCGAUUAUUGCUAGUUGAAAACUUUUCCCAAUACCCCGCCAUGACGACUUGAAAUAUAGUCGGCAUUGGCAAUUUUUGACAGUCUCUUGCGAGA